GUAGCGCUCCAGAGGCCGCAGGUGACGCGGGCACAGGCUCUCCUCCAGCCUGCGCAGCGGCGGCACCAGGCGGUGCCCGCGCAGCGCGGGACUGCGCUCAUGCGGGCCCAGGUGCGCGGGGCAGAAGGACGCGAGGCAGCGACUCUAUUUAGCCCUGGCGGGGAACUUGGGCUUUUCUAGACCUGAAAUGGGAAGUUAUGUCAUGCUCCGAGUGCCAGAUCCGAGGAAUGCAGUUCCGGUCCUCGAACACUCCCCCGCACCUGUGGUGCACCUAGACAAACACUGGGGCUCCCCAAGAAGAGGCAGUGGUUAAGACUUGCCUAAGUGCAUACACUAAACGGUUCUCCAAGUUGGAGCUAAUUUCCACUCCUCAUGCGGCAUCUGUGCACUGGGACGGGAAGGAAAUACAAGAACCGCUUAACAGAGGAGCAGGACUAACAACACUACCCAGGGUGGUCAAGGUCAGCAUCGACAGUGAUAAAUCACAGCAAUAGCUCGGCCUCUCAUGUGAUGUCUUCCUCCCUCAAACGUACAACUCCUGCCUGAUGAGAAAAACAUCAGAUCAAUCCUGUGUCUCCAAAAUACCUGAUGAGUACCUCCUCAAAGCCGCCUACCCCUCCCCCCCCUUUUUUGUGAUUCUGGGGAUUUAACCUUUAAAAAAAAAUUUUUUUUGAGACUGCAUUUGCUAUGUAGACUUGAAUUUGCAGCAGUGCUCCUUGCCUUGGCCUCCGAAGUGCUGAGAUUAUAGGAAUGUGCCAAUAUACACUACGAAAAUUAUUUUGAGACAGGAUUUCACUGAAUCUUCAGGUUGGCCACGCUGGGCCCAAAUUUGUGUCUCCUGCCUUGGCCUCCCAGAGUGCAGUAAUUACAAGCCCAUGCCACCAAGUCUGGGUUCAUUCUUUCAUUUUUUUCACUAAUUACCAUAGAAUCUAAGAUGUUAACUAAAGAGAGAAUCAGGUGUAGGAUAUAUAGGGACUUGGUAUUCUUGACAUAGCUUUUCUGUAACUUUAAAGCUACUAUAAAGUUUUUUGAGCCAGUUAUAAUGGUGCACAUCUGUAAUCUCAGCACUCAGAAGGCUGAGGCAGGAGGAUCACUGGGCAUGUGCCCAUAGUCUCCACUAUUCUGGAGGCUGUGUAACGAGGAUCCCUUGAACCCAGAGAGUCAAGGCCAGCCCAGGUAACAUAGUGGAACCCUUCUUGGAAAAAAAAAAUGUAUACUUUGUAAGGAUACUGUGCCAAGCCCCUGACAGCUUCCCUGGAAAGAAAGAAAGAACACUCAGAUCUAAUAAAUGCCUCCCAGGUGCCAUACCCUGAGGUGACCCAUCUCUAGAAACUCAGGCUGUUUUGAGGCAGCUAUGGAGGCCAGAGAAGCCAUGUGACUUACCCGCCUCUCUCCAGAUGGGCGGUGGUAACCCCUUUGGAGACAUCCUGGGUAGGCUGAGCAGGAGCUUCACGCUGUCCUGUCGUCUCUGUGCACUGGCAUGGGAACUGCUGGAGGGCUACAGAGUCCAUCUCGGUCAUCGCUUAACCCCAGGGCAUCUGCAUUAGCAGUCAGCACCUGUCACUUGGCUCUCUGCCCUCUGGGAGGUGCAGAUUGAUGGAGAUUGUGGGGAUGGAGACGAUGGCAGGGCCUCCUCAGGACGAGGUACGGGGACGGGGACAACACAGAGAGGAGGUGCCCAGGUCCUCCAGGGCUCGCCUCUCAGCGACAGGUGAGACCCUGGGGUGGGAAGGGAUAGGUGGGAGGGUGGGAGGUGCUGGGCAGGAGGACCUCUCCAGGAGACCUCAGGGUCUGUUCACAUCAGGAUCUGCCACAGGAAGGGGACCUUAAUUAGUGCCUGACACAAACCAGGUGCUUUAAGAGUAGUAAAACCUGGGUGGUAUAGAAGGAACAAAGGUCCAGACCGGGAAUGUGGCCCAGCAGUAGAUCACUGUCCGGGCUGUGCAAGGCCCUGUGUUCCAUUCUCAGUGCUGCAAAAAUAAGUGAGGAUCAUAUUCUCAUGGUACAGGAAUCCAGAACUGAAAUCGAGGUGUCCGUAGAGGUGUGUCCUGCGGGAAGAGAUGAGGGGGAAUCUGUCCCAGGCCUGCCCCCCAGCUUCUGCUGUUGGCUGGCAAAUCCUGGUAUUCCUUGGGGUGUAUAUACACUACUCCAGUAUCUGUCUCUGUUGUCACAUGCCCUCUGCUCUGUGUCAGACUUUUUUUGGUGUGUGUUGGGAAUAGAAUACAGGGCCUUGCAAAAGCUAAGCACAUGAACUGCUACUGAGUCGCACUCGUAGCCCAAACUUCCUCGCUUGUGUGUGCAAAUGUAUGUGUGAGCACAUGUAGGGUACCAGGGGUACAAGGCAGGGCCAUUGCCCUGAGCCACAAUCUCUAGCCAUUUUUUUUUUUUUGAGAUAGGGUCUCACUAUGUGGUGCAGGCUGGCCUUGAACUUGCAAUGAUAUUUCUGCCUCAGCCUCUUGAGGUGCUGAGAUUACAGUUGCAAACCGCUAUGGCCGAUAGAACUCCUGGCCCAGGGCCUCAUACCUGUUAGGCAAGUGCUCUACUACUGAGUUGUAUCCUCAGCCUGGAAGGCUUUUUAAAAGUUAAUUAAUUAAUUUAUUUAAUUUUGAGACAGAGUCUCACUAUGCAGUUCAGGCUAACCUUGAGAUCACUUAGUAGCGCAGGCUGGUCUCGAACUUGCAGUGAUCCUCCUGCCUCAGCCUCCCAAAUACAGGGAUUACAGGUAUGCACCACCAUGCCCUGCUGGAAAGUUUUUUUUUUUUUAAAGCAGCUUUAUGAAUAUUAAUUCACUACCAUACAAUUUGAGCAUUUAAAGUAUUCUAUCCAGUCAGGUGCAGGCCUCCGUGGCUAUGAUCCCAGCACUCUGAGGGGGUGAGACAAGAGGGUUACAAGUUUGAGUGCAGGAUGGGCAACUUAGCAAGACUGUCUCAGAAUAUAAAAGCUUGAAUGUAGCUAGUAGUAGAAUACCCCUGGCCUCCGUUUUCAGUGCUGCAAAUAAAUCUGUUAAUGAAUAAAUAAAGCGUACAAUUGGGGCUGGGGAUUUAGCUCGGUGGCAUAAGCACCUGCCUUGCAAGCAGGUGGUCGUGAGUUCGAUCCCCGGUACCAAUAAAAAAGAAAAAGACAAAAAAAAAAUAAAGUGUACAAUCC